AUGCUCAUUUCAGUAGCACAUAUACUAAAACUGGAAUGAUACAGAGAUUAGCAUGGUCCCUGCACAAGGAUGACAUGCAAAUUUGUGAAGUGUUCAUAUUAAAA